rnacentral:misc_RNA from 1 species
AUUUUCGUCUGCUUCCCCUGGAGAUGUGGUUUCCAAAGAAAAGUGAAGUUUUGAAAUAUAAACUUAUUGCUUAUAUCUUUAAUAAUGAUGCAAGCACUCAACUUGAAUCAGGUCAUUCUGCUCCGAUUAGAAACGAUCUGAAGCUAGGCUGCUAGAUCGUCGAGAGUCGAGGUCACACGGUAGUUGAUUCUUAGUCCUGUCUCUAUCACUCAGCUGUCAGGUGUUUGGUGUGUUUAACAUUUGAUGUCGUUUAACCCGUGUUAACAAUGCAGACGAUGGACCAAAAACAAAACCCAUGCCAUCCCGUCAAAGGUCAAAGAAUAGAUUCCUCCUGACAGUUUUUUCUAAUGAUAUUCACUGUGACAAGCAAGCAACAGACUUUAUGUAGACCACCCAAAAGAACCAUGUCAUCCUUUCAAAGGUCAAUGAGUAGAUUCCUCGUAAUCCUUUAUUUCUAAGGAUAUUCAAGGUGACAAGCAAGUAGCAGGCCUUACGUAGAUCAAAUAAUAAUUGCAAAGGUCAAUGAGUAGAUAACUCAAAAGCUUUAUUUCUAAGGGUAUUCAUUGUGACAACCAAGCAACAGGCCUUACGUAGACCUACAAAACGCAUGCCAUCCUAUCAACGGUCAAGUGGUAGAUUCCUCACAAUCCUUCAUUUCUAAGGAUAUUCACUGGGACAAGCAAGUAGCAGGCCUUACGUAGAUCAAAUAAUAAUUGCAAAGGUCAACGAGUAGAUACCUCACAUUCUUUAGUUCUAAGGAUAUCCACUGUGACAAGCAAGUAACAAAACUUACGUAGACCUCCAAAACCAUGCCAUCCUUUCAACGGUCAAAGGGUAGAUUCGAAACAAUGCUUCAUUUAUAGGGAUGUUUACAGUGACAAGCAAGUAACGGGCCUUACGUAGACCUCCAAACGCAUGCCAUCCUUUCAACUGUCAAAGGGAAGAUUCCCCACAAUCCUUUAAUUCUAAGGAUAUUCACUGUGACAAUCAAGCAACAGACCUUACUCAGCAAAAUGACCGCGCACGAAUGCCCCGUGUGUUUAAAACUUUUUAUUUCGGAGCCAGUGCUGACAACACAUCUGCAUGACCAUGGACUAUUUUCCCAUCCUUACAAGUGUAUGUUCUGUCACAAUCGAUACAAUACGCAGGGCGACGUAGACGAACACACCAAGGGUCACCUGGAGUCACUGAAGCUGCGACUGGACGAGAAGGGACGAAUAGUGGACGAUUCGGAGGACAACUCUGGGAUGGAGUACACCUGCAUGUACUGUCAGCUGUGUUUUGACGAUGUCGCCGAUCUACAAAUGCACCACAAGACGCAUUUCAGCACAGUGCAGUCGCUGAUCAAACUGAAACAGAACAACUGGGUAUCUCCGAGACUGUUGACAGCAAAGGAUUUUGCUUAUAGCAACAACCUUCUUGGUAUGUUGGGAGAACCACCGUCACAAAGGUCCGGUCCAUCAGCGUUCAGAGAUCCACCACCACGAGAGGUCAUGUACUCCUCAUCUAAGUCCAAAGGCCCUUCAGUAAGGUUCAUAGAUCCACCGUCAAAGUCAGAUUACCCAUCAGAGUCAAUAGAUUACCCACCAGAGUCCACAAGUCCAUCAUUAGAGUCCAUAUAUUCAUCAUUAGAAUCCAUAGAUUCAUCAUUAGAAUUCACAGAUGACCCACCAGAGUCGAUUGAUGAAAAUGAUGUGGAAAAUGCUAAAAAUAUUUUGUUGGAUCACGAUUACGGUUUCAACACAAUUAUGCCACCAAGUUCCAAAAAGAGCGAUAAAAUUGUUCCAGAUCAUAAUUACACUAGCAAAUAUUUUAUGCAAAGAAGGUCAUCAUCACCGGAAGUGAUCGGUACGUCGUCUGCUGCUCUGGUUUCCAGCCGUCGUGGUAUCACUGACUUGACGGCAAAGGUACACAAACUGUUAACUACUGGCGUUAAUUUUACAGCACACAACUGUAGAUUCUGCCAAAGCAGUAAGAGGAUAAGUACUUCGUCCAGUAGCCUGUCGGCGACGAUUCCUUCCAAGGACGGUUUUCAGAGCAAUAUUGAUCAGUGUAACACUAAGACACACAGUCAUGGAUCAAAUACAGAAAUCUUUAAUCAUGGAUCAAAUACUGAAAUGUUGAGUCAUGGAUCAAAUACAGAAAUGUUGAGUCAUGGAUCAAAUACAGAAAUAUUGAAUCGUGGAACAAAUACAGAAAUGUUGAGUUGUGGAUCAAAUACUGAAAUGUUGAGACACGAAUCUAAUGCAGACAUAUGUAAUCGUGGAUCUAAUACAGAAUCACUGCAUCGGGGGUCAAAUACUGAAACUUGCACACGUGGAUCCAAUACUGAAACGUUGAGUCAUGGAUCUAAUACUGAAAUGUGUAGUUGUGGAACAAAUUCAGAAACACGGAGUCAUGAAGCCAAUACUGAAAUGUUGAGUCAUGGGUCUCAUACAGGAGUGUGUAGUCAUGGAUCUACUAAAAUUCCGAGUCAUGGGUCUGAUACUGAAUUGUGUAGUCAUUUGUCUAAUACGGAAAGGUUGAGUCACGAGGCUAACACUGAAAAGAGUUGUCUUAGAUCUAACGGAGAAACAUGUGAAAAUAUGAAUCGUGGAUCUAAUAUUGAAACGUGUAGUGGAUCUAAUACAGAUUCACGUAGUCUUGGAUCUGGUCAGUCACGUGGUUCCGGAUCUACAUCUGAACGUGCACCAUGCAAUAAAUGUUCAGCUAUUCCAACUAAUACACCUCUGGGUGACACUUCCUCUGGAAAUCACAACGUCUUUGCUUCAAAAUGUGAUAAUACGAAACGUCUGAAACUGGAUGUGCCAGACAGACCCACUAUAAUUGAGAAUAGAGUCCCAUCUCACGCAGAACACACAAGUAAAGAAUCGCACGACACUUCUGCCAUGAAUGAAUUAAAAGAUAAUUCGGUGGGGAGUACGCUAGAUCUUCCUCCAGCAACACGUGGCGGUGACGACCCGAGUGGCUUUUCCAGAUCGGAGAGUCCGACCAUGUCAUCGGAUGACGAGAUGGCCGACUCGCCGGAACCCAACAAGCUGUGCAUCGAUGAGGGUUCUGAAGACGAAUACGAUGACGCACUGUCGGAUUGUCACACGAGUUCGGAGGACGAGGACGAACAGCAGCACAGCGCGGAACCAUUUCCAACAGGGUUGUUUAUCAAUCAACAAUGUAAAAUCUUGAAAAAAUCAGCCUAAUAUUGAUAAAUAUUGUCUCUAAAGGUUGAUACAAUUUUCUGGUGUCUUGUUCUGGUAUUGAUAAAUAGUGGCAUUAAAGAAACAUUGCUUCUGAACGUCAAGAUAUGGAGUGAAGGACAACACAGACCCAUUCCUAACUGGCUUAUUUCUUUAAAGGGAUGUUGAUGUAAAAUAACAGUUUAGAAUAAUAGCAUUACGGUGUUCAUAAAAUUGUUUACUGUUACACUUAUUUUAAUUAUGAUUUUAAUGGUGCUUUUACGAUUAUUGAAUUUUUGUUCAACGUUAAAAAAGGAAAGAAAGACAAAAAAAAAAAAAGAAGUUUUUUCAAGGUACUUUAUUGCAUUAACGUUUUUUGCAAAUCGACCAUUUUUGUGUGACCUUUUGUGGUUGGUGUUGGUGUUUUUAAAGAACCUAUUACAGACCCGAGUUCUUCCUCGCUAUUCCUAGUUUAAUCAUAAUUAAUGAUGUUUUCACGAUUAUCCAAGGGCGGAUCCAAAGAAACCAACCGGGGGGGGGGGGGGGG